CUAAACUUAACCCUGGAGAUCAUCUACCUGCUGACCGGAGAGAGAUUUCCUCUUGUGAAGUCUGGAGAUCAUAUGAGCAUCACAGUGCCCCUACGUCAUUCCUUGUUACUCAAGAAAAACAGCAAACAGAAGAUUCUAGAAGUCACCGAGAAGAUGAUGGAGCUGCUGACAGGAGAGGUUCCUAUAAGGUGUCAGGAUGUCACUGUCUA